UCCUGCUCCUCUCUGCUCAUCCAGCUGAUGCCAGCACUGGACACACUUGAUCCAGAUGCACAAAAUCCCUUCUCCCAGAGGUCCAAAGGCUCCUGGUGCCUCCCUUUCCUUGCUGAUCCAUUUUCACAGGAUAUUCCCCGUGCAGCCUGUCCUGUGCAUAACCCCUCCCAGUACCCCUGAGCAGCACCUCUGAAGAGGAACCACUCUCCAAAACAAUCCUUCCCUGCAAGGAAAACCAUUCCCCCAACUUCAAGGACUUGAAAAAUUCAUUUAAUUUUGGUUCAGCAUGUUUGACCGAAGAAAGUCAGCAAUUAUUUCUCCUCGGUGAUCAGAGGUGUCAUCUCCACUCAGACAUGGGCCACACCAGGUUCUGGAGAAUGGGGACAGGCCAAGAGGCAAUUAAGGAACAAAAUGAAACCAUGACAAACCUUUGUGGCUGGAUACUGUCUCCUAACAAAGUCCAAAACACCGUGGCGUUGUGGGCUUGGCACAUUAAAUUUUCAUGUGCAGCUACUGGAGACAGAUUUAUAAACUAAUUAAGUCUAACAAUCUCUGAAGCACUGCUUGUGUGUGAAGAGGCUCAGAUCAACUGAGUUGUUCCAAAGGAUAAAACCCCAAACUUAUCCAACAGGAACAUUCGAGAACCAGCCCAAAAUUAUUCCAUGUCUGUUGUAAAUCGACCCAAGUGCAAACACCUCGUGCAAAAU